CUCUGCCCUCAGAUGGGAGAGAGGGGAAAGUGACUCCCUGUUUACUCAGGCUCUAAUCUGGGGCAUUGCUCGGAACUCCCAAAUCUGAUCCCCUCCAAACCUUGAGACAUUUGGGAGAAGGCCAGCAGGGGAAGGACCAGGGGACUUCUCCCUCUGGAAGGCAGAUUGGACUCCUAGUAGCCACCGCUUCUCCAUCGGCAAGAUCUCCUGAAAGCAAGGAUCUUGUCGCUCUUGUUCACAGCUGGCUCUUCAGUGCCCAGAGCAGGCUGACCUACUGCUACCUUCCAUGGAGACUCUUUGAAUGAAUGAAAAUUAAUCGGAAAUUACCUUUAAGAAAUUGUGUUUAAAUGCCUGUGGCCUGAAACCUCACGCUAGGAGUGGUGAACUUUGACUGUUACCUGCAUUCUGGGCCUUUCCCUUUAAGGUCCUGUUUCCCUCUCCCUGGGAUUCAUAUCCUAUACCCAACUAUAUCCAUUAAACUAUAUACAGUGUCACUUA